rnacentral:rRNA from 1 species
GCCAAACAGCUAGCUCAACCACCUAAUAACUAAACAAUGUAUAUAAAACAAAAUAAGCCUAACACCAAAAAUUAAACCAUUCUUUUACCUUAGUAUGGGAGACAGAAAAGGUCACACCUGGAGCAAUAGAGAUAGUACCGCAAGGGAAAGCUGAAAGAGAAAUGAAAUAACUUAUAUAAGCACAAAAAAGCAAAGAUUAAAUCUUGUACCUUUCGCAUCAUGAUUUAGCCAGUAUACCCAAGCAAAGAGACCUUUAGUUUGAAACCCCGAAACCAGAUGAGCUACCCCGAGACAGCCUAUUAAGGGCCAACCCGUCUCUGUGGCAAAAGAGUGGGAAGAGCUCCGGGUAGAGGUGAUAAAUCUACCGAACCUGGUGAUAGCUGGUUGCCUAAGAAGUGAAUAGAAGUUCAGCCUCGUACUCCCCUGAUCAAAGAAUAUAGAGAAGAUGCUAAAGGGCAAUACACGAGAGUUAGUUGAAGGGGGUACAGCCCCUUUAACAAAGGACACAACCUUCCCAGGAGGAUAAAGAUCAUAAUACAUAAAACAUCCUGUUCUAGUGGGCCUAAAAGCAGCCACCUAAACAGAAAGCGUUAAAGCUCAGACAGAAGCGAGUUUAUUAUUCCGACAAAAAAUCUUACUCCCCUUAAUACUAUUAGGCCAGCCCAUGCUCACAUGGGAGAGACUAUGCUAAAAUGAGUAACAAGAAGGCCUGCCCUUCUCCAAGCACAGCUGUAAGCCAAAUCGGACCAACCAUUGGCAAUUAACGAACUCAACCCAAGAGAGCAAUGUGGAUUGCAACAAAACCAAGAAGAACCCACAUAAGUCCAUCGUUACCCCCACACUGGCGUGCUAUUAAAGGAAAGACUAAAAGAAGGGGAAGGAACUCGGCAAACACAAGCCUCGCCUGUUUACCAAAAACAUCGCCUCCUGCAACGAAACCAAGUAUAGGAGGUCCAGCCUGCCCAGUGACGAUAAGUUUAACGGCCGCGGUAUUUUGACCGUGCAAAGGUAGCGUAAUCACUUGUCUCUUAAAUGGAGACCUGUAUGAAUGGCCAAACGAGGGCUUAACUGUCUCCCCCUUCCAGUCAGUGAAAUUGAUCUAUCCGUGCAGAAGCGGG